rnacentral:rRNA from 1 species
CAGCCGCCGCGGUAAAACAGAGGAUGCAAGCGUUAUCCGGAAUGAUUGGGCGUAAAGGGUGCGUAGGCGGCCCCGCAAGUCUCAUGUGAAAUCUUCAGGCUCAGCUUGAAGUCUGCAUGGGAAACUGCGGGGCUGGAGUAUGGGAGAGAUGAGUGGAAUUCCUGGUGUAGCGGUGAAAUGCGUAGAUAUCGGAAGGAACACCUGUGGCGAAAGCGGCUCACUGGACCAUUACUGACGCUGAGGCGCGAAAGCUAGGGGAGCAAACAGGAUUAGAUACCCGCGUAGUCCCUGUCUCUUAUAC